AAAUUGAAGAGUUUGAUCAUGGCUCAGAUUGAACGCUGGCGGCAGGCCUAACACAUGCAAGUCGAACGGUAACAGAAAGCAGCUUGCUGCUUUGCUGACGAGUGGCGGACGGGUGAGUAAUGUCUGGGAAACUGCCUGAUGGAGGGGGAUAACUACUGGAAACGGUAGCUAAUACCGCAUAACGUCGCAAGACCAAAGAGGGGGACCUUCGGGCCUCUUGCCAUCGGAUGUGCCCAGAUGGGAUUAGCUUGUUGGUGGGGUAACGGCUCACCAAGGCGACGAUCCCUAGCUGGUCUGAGAGGAUGACCAGCCACACUGGAACUGAGACACGGUCCAGACUCCUACGGGAGGCAGCAGUGGGGAAUAUUGCACAAUGGGCGCAAGCCUGAUGCAGCCAUGCCGCGUGUAUGAAGAAGGCCUUCGGGUUGUAAAGUACUUUCAGCGGGGAGGAAGGGAGUAAAGUUAAUACCUUUGCUCAUUGACGUUACCCGCAGAAGAAGCACCGGCUAACUCCGUGCCAGCAGCCGCGGUAAUACGGAGGGUGCAAGCGUUAAUCGGAAUUACUGGGCGUAAAGCGCACGCAGGCGGUUUGUUAAGUCAGAUGUGAAAUCCCCGGGCUCAACCUGGGAACUGCAUCUGAUACUGGCAAGCUUGAGUCUCGUAGAGGGGGG
rnacentral:rRNA from 1 species